UACGUAGGGUGCGAGCGUUAAUCGGAAUUACUGGGCGUAAAGUGUGCGCAGGCGGCCGCGCAAGUCGAGUGUGAAAGCCCCGGGCUUAACCUGGGAAUUGCAUUUGUGACUGCACGGCUAGAGUUUGGCAGAGGGGGGUAGAAUUCCACGUGUAGCAGUGAAAUGCGUAGAUAUGUGGGGGAAUACCGAUGGCGAAGGCAGCCCCCUGGGUCAAGACUGACGCUCAUGCACGAAAGCGUGGGGAGCAAACAGG
rnacentral:rRNA from 1 species